rnacentral:rRNA from 1 species
GACGAACGCUGGCGGCGUGCUUAACACAUGCAAGUCGAACGGAAAGGCCCUGCUUUUGUGGGGUGCUCGAGUGGCGAACGGGUGAGUAACACGUGAGUAACCUGCCCUUGACUUUGGGAUAACUUCAGGAAACUGGGGCUAAUACCGGAUAGGAGCUCCUGCUGCAUGGUGGGGGUUGGAAAGUUUCGGCGGUUGGGGAUGGACUCGCGGCUUAUCAGCUUGUUGGUGGGGUAGUGGCUUACCAAGGCUUUGACGGGUAGCCGGCCUGGGAGGGUGACCGGGCACCUUGGGCCUACGGUACGGACCAGAGUCCUAUGGGAGGCAGCAGUGGGGAGUCUUGCCCAAUGGGCGGAAGCCUGAUGCAGCAACGCCGCGUUCGGGAUGACGGCCUUCGGGUUGUAAACCGCUUUCGGCUGUGACGAAGCGUGAGUGACGGUAAUGGGUAAAGAAGCACCGGCUAACUACGUG